rnacentral:rRNA from 1 species
UACGGGGGGGGCAAGCGUUGUUCGGAAUUACUGGGCGUAAAGGGCUCGUAGGCGGCCAACUAAGUCGGAUGUGAAAUCCCCAGGCUUAACCUGGGAACUGCAUCCGAUACUGGAAGGCUUGAAUCCGGGAGAGGGAUGCGGAAUUCCAGGUGUAGCGGUGAAAUGCGUAGAUAUCUGGAGGAACACCGGUGGCGAAGGCGGCAUCCUGGACCGGUAUUGACGCUGAGGCGCGAAAGCGUGGGGAGCAAACAGGG